AGAGUUUGAUCCUGGCUCAGAACGAACGCUGGCGGCAGGCUUAACACAUGGAAGUCGAGCGCCCACUUCGGUGGGAGCGGCAGACGGGUGAGUAACACGUGGGAAUCUACCUAUCUCUGCGGAACAACAGUUAGAAAUGACUGCUAAUACCGCAUAAGCCCUUAGGGGGAAAGAUUUAUCGGUGAUAGAUGAGCCCGCGUUUGAUUAGCUAGUUGGUGAGGUAAUGGCUCACCAAGGCGACGAUCAAUAGCUGGUCUGAGAGGAUGAUCAGCCACACUGGGACUGAGACACGGCCCAGACUCCUACGGGAGGCAGCAGUGGGGAAUAUUGGACAAUGGGCGCAAGCCUGAUCCAGCCAUGCCGCGUGUGUGAUGAAGGCCCUAGGGUUGUAAAGCACUUUCGCAGGUGAAGAUAAUGACGGUAACCUGUAAAGAAGCCCCGGCUAACUUCGUGCCAGCAGCCGCGGUAAUACGAAGGGGGCUAGCGUUGUUCGGAAUAACUGGGCGUAAAGCGCACGUAGGCGGAUUGGAAAGUUAGGGGUGAAAUCCCAAGGCUCAACCUUGGAACUGCCUCUAAAACUAUCAGUCUAGAGAUCGAGAGAGGUGAGUGGAAUUCCGAGUGUAGAGGUGAAAUUCGUAGAUAUUCGGAGGAACACCAGUGGCGAAUGCGGCUCACUGGCUCGAUACUGACGCUGAGGUGCG
rnacentral:rRNA from 1 species